UGCAGUCACAUGAGGUGGUAUAUCAUUUCAUUUUUUUUCUUUUGUCAAGGUUAAUCUCUUUGCAAAGCAUAUUGGCUAAUCAGCUGAGCAAAUUGAAGCUGACAUCAGGCGUCCAAAAUAUUUUAGUCCCAGUGAGGCAGUUGAAUAUGGUGUCAUAGACAAGGUAAGUUCACGGCAGAAGGUAACAAGUAGCAUUUCGGGAAUGCGUGAGACUGUUGAAACAAGUUUGUUUUUACAACAUAGGGCAAAGGAAGUAGUACCAAUUCUUACUUUGGAAAGACUAUUGGUAACGAUAGUGAGUACAAGGACAAGAAGAAGAAAUAUAUAUUUUUCGACAAUGA